GACGAACGCUGGCGGCGUGCCUAAUACAUGCAAGUCGAACGCAGUGGGGACGGGUGAGUAACACGUGGGUAACCUCCCAUCAGAGGGGAUAACACUUGGAAACAGGUGCAAAACCGAUAUGAAUGGAUGGAACCGCGGUGCAUUAGCUAGUUGGUGAGGUAACGGCUCACCAAGGCCACGAUGCAUAGCCGACCUGAGAGGGUGUUCGGCCACACUGGGACUGAGCCACGGCCCAGACUCCUACGGGAGGCAGCAGUGGGGAAUCUUCGGCAAUGGACGAAAGUCUGACCGAGCAACGCCGCGUGAGUGAAGAAGGUUUUCGGAUCGUAAAACUCUGUUGGUAGAGAAGCGGUAUCUAACCAGAAAGCCACGGCUAACUCCGUGCCAGCCGCCGCGGUAAUUC
rnacentral:rRNA from 1 species